UGAUACUGGUUUCAUCCAACUUGUGGUUUUUUUUACUGCGCUGCUGAAAUAUUGCGUGCGCGGUAGAUACCAUGGGUAGUUUGUUUGCCGGGUCUUUCUAUACCAAAAGCUUGAAAAACCUCCUACACACUUUGUUUUCUUAUUAGAGACAAAUUUGCUUUGGCUAGCUGUUGCGUAAAACCACAGUUUGGCCAAAGGUUUUAUAACAAACUCUUGUUUUUGUUUUUCAACUUGCUUGAAGAAUUAGAAACGUGUUUUAAUAAUACUAGUCAUAAUCAUGAAGUCUUUGUAAAGAAGCUUUAACUAAAAUUUAAAACUUUCAACAACGGAUCUCUUGGUUCUCGCAUCGAUGAAGAACGCAGCGAAAUGCGAUAAGUAAUGUGAAUUGCAGAUUUUCGUGAAUCAUUGAAUCUUUGAACGCACAUUGCGCCCUCUGGUAUUCCGGAGGGCAUGCCUGUUUGAGCGUCAUUUCCUUCUCACACCCUCUAGGGUAUGGUGAUGGGUGAUACUUUGAGUAAUCAAAGUUCACUUGAAAUGUAUUGGCAUGAGUUUUUGUUUACUGAAAGCAGUUGUUUAUCAAUGUAUUAGGUUUAUUCCAUCGUUGAAUUAGCAGUUGUAAGAAGUAGCAAAGUUUUGGCUCUGCCUAACAAACUUUUUUUAAUCAUAAAGUUUGACCUCAAAUCAGGUAGGACUACCCGCUGAACUUAAGCAUAUCAAUA
rnacentral:rRNA from 1 species